GGACUGGGAAGUCCCAGUAGGAUAGGCCAGGAAAGACCAUGCCCGCCCGCCCAGCAGUCCCUUCUGAUGAUUGAGUGGGGAUUUCAGGGCAUGCUUUUUGAGCUAGCCAUGGAGUGUUCCUUCUCUAAUGAUAGAUGUAUUUCCAAUCAUUUGCCUAUGGACUUCCUCUUACCUUAAUUCUACAAAUAUUCAGUGCCUGCUGGAUGCUUUUUUAGGCAUUGGUGCAGCCGCUUUGGUUCUUCAGCAUGUGGGCUGUGGUGGUCUUCGGCGCCCAUCGGAAGCUGAUUUGAAGAUUUAGCAGCCUGUGUGGAAGCGGGGGUUCUGUUGCGCUUUACAAAGUGAAAGGAAGGUGUCUGAGGUGCUGGCCUUUGGGGACAAUUUCACUAUACCAGACUUCUUUAGGGGAUCCAGGACUAAGCCGAGGAAGGUGUUUCUGAACCUCAGGGAAUCUGUGGCCACUGGCAAGCCAGCGGAAAAUUCAGGUGGAAUCAGAGGUUUCUGGCUGACUCGGUGG
rnacentral:lncRNA from 1 species